rnacentral:rRNA from 1 species
UACAGAGGUCUCAAGCGUUGUUCGGAUUCAUUGGGCGUAAAGGGUGCGUAGGUGGCGCCGUAAGUCAGGUGGUGAAAUUUCGGAGCUUAACUCCGAAACUGCAUUUGAUACUGCGGUGCUUGAGGACUGGAGAGGAGACUGGAAUUUACGGUGUAGCAGUGAAAUGCGUAGAGAUCGUAAGGAAGACCAGUGGCGAAGGCGGGUCUCUGGACAGUUC